rnacentral:lncRNA from 1 species
UUAGUUCCCAAUUUCUCCUCCCACUCUUUCGACUCCAAAUACAACUUGGACACUUCCAUCGAAACCCGACCCAUAUCCGGUCUCUCAUUCGGAUCAUCCCCAACACACUCCAACCCGACCCGAAUCAUUUUCUCAGCCACAUCCAUCGGAAACGAAUCCUUCAACCUCCGAUCAACCCAUUUUCUUACACCACCGUGCUCCUUCCACGCUUCCUUCGCCGUCUCCACUACACUCACCCUCUUAUACCCGCCUUCGUUUCCCUCCAAUUCAAAUCUCACCGCUUCUUCCCCGCUCAGAAUCUCCAAAACCACCACGCCAAAUGCGUAAACAUCCGUCUUCUGCGUCGCCACGCCAGUAACAAGAAACUCCGGCGCCAUAUACCCUCUCGUUCCCUCAAAUCUCACUCCCUUGCUACCGGACUUCUUCAACUUCCUCCCGGAGUCCGAUCCGGCAGUAUCAUCGACAGACUCGCCACAAAGCUCCGACGUACCGAAGUGACAAAUCUUCACACCAAAAUUCUCCUCCGCAACGAUGAUGCUAGAGCUUUUGAUAUGAUUAUGAACAAAACCAGAACCAGAACCAGCAAAAUUAUGAACGUAAUCAAGACCGUGAGCAAGAUCGGAAGCAAUCAGCAUCCUCGAAGUCCACGUAUUAAGAUCGGUGAAGCUAGGAUUCCGACGAUUACGAAGACAAUCAGAAAGAUUAGCACCGGGAACAAAGUCAUAAACAAGAUAAAUGUAGCUCCCGGAGACAGAAGCUCCGAGAAGUUUGACGAGACUACUAUGGUGACUCCGGCAGAUAAGAGCAAGUCGAUCACGAAGCUCAGGGAGGUGAAUUUGGCGACGGAAUUUCCGUUGAAAAACAACGACGUCGCGGUUGUGAAGAGAACAGCGGAAGGAGUUGGAGGAGAGACGGUUGGCAGAGAAGUUAUUGGUGGCGGAUGAGAUAUCGGAGAAAGGGUAGAUGUGAGGGUUUUCAGGGAGAGCAUGUUUGAGGCUUGAGAGAGAAGAGUGAGUUGAAAUGGAAGAAGAUGAUGAAGAGGUUUUGGACCAUUGUUUUUGCUUUGAGUUGUUGUAUAUGUAACUUCUUGAUUCUGUGAUUGGAACUUCGCUGGUUGAAGAUGAUGGGAGAUUUGAGGAUGAAGAUGUUGUUGAGGUCCGUUGUGGGUGAGGGUUGUUUCUGGUUGUGGGUUGCACCACGGUGGUGCUCUUUUUCGAUUUGCACAUCGAACUAACAGUAGUUUCUGACUCAUUUAAAUGGGUAUUUCUUGUUUUUUUUACAAGAAACUUCAUAAUAUUAUUAUUAUUAUGGGAACAACAAAAAAAAG